AGAUAGCAGAAGUUACUCACAUUUAUCUUUAAAGCUUCUUGAACAAUGCUUUUUUUUUAAAAACUCCCUUUGAAACAGAGUUUCAUGUGUCACAGCUCUCCUUAUGAUUUAUCAGCCAUUAACCUCCUUACUUUUAAGUUACUUGCCAUAGGUAAUUAAUUUAUCACUUAAUUAAGGUAACACAACUUAUUCCCUGUAGGCAUAGAAACAAGGAAGCCUGAGAAACAGUUAUAUGCAUGCUGAGCAGACUGGCUCCGUCUUCCCUCAACUGUGUACAAUUUUUUUUUUUUUUUUAUAGCAAAUACAAUAUUAGUCAUAGUACUGAAGUAUGUUAUUAAAAAAAACCCCUACUCUUAAACAUUAAGAGACUGUGCCUACUGGUAAAGUCUGUCACUCUGAGUAAUGCAUUCACAUCAUUCUAUAUUGAGGGAUACUUAUUACAGAUUUUGGACGUAAAAACCUGAAUUGCAGCACUUUCAUGUAAGAACACUAUGGGCCAAUACACUAGAAUAGCAUUCCAGUUCUUUUACCAUUACAUGAAUCAAUGAAUGAUAUCCAGACUCUGACACAUAAAAUAUUCAGUACUGUACAAUAACCAAUUAACUCUUCCUUAACAAAAUAAUCUAUGUAGAUUUCUAUUUUUUUCCCUAUCAGGAUCAUAUAUAAGAUGAACAGCAAAAUGUAAAAAGCUGGUCAGACACUUCUGUAUUUACCUCUCUGCAUAAUAUCUUCAAAUCACCAAUUUUCACAGAACAGCUGGAGGUGACAGAAGCAGCCAAGCAUUUCUACCACUUCAUGUACAUUUGUUUCUUUUCAAGGUUGGUGAAAUACUUGGACUUAUUUUAAAAUUUAAUAUAAAUCAACUACAGCCCACUGCAAGUUGACAGUCAUGACAUUCUAACAAAGAUAGUGACAGCAUUCAGCCUCUUCCAGCUGUGAUUCUCUCACAGAUAAAUUUAUGAACUUGCCUCAAAAGUGUUACCGGUGAUAUCAAAUUCUGGUGGAACAAAGGCACCU